CAGCUCUCCUGAGAGCCUGGAGAGAACACUGUGUCUUUCUCUGCUUUUUCAUACUGAUAUUUUGCAAAAGAAGCAAGUAGAGUUUCCCAUCUCAUUUUUGAGCUGAUUGCAAAAAGAAGAGCCAAAUGACAGAAUGGACCAUCAAACCCUGACUUUGAGUUCCCUUAAGGAGACUGUGGCCCUUGCUCUCCUUGGGAGAUUAUUAGAGGGGCAGAUAAUCCACUGGUAAGUGCAUGACCCUUGGAGCUGCCUAGAUAAAGAAUGUGAGGGUAAGUGAUCUGUCUACAAAUGUAGUGCUGGAAAGUAGCAUAGCUGAGCUUUUUGUUUGGGAUAUCUGGAUUCAAAGCUGAUACUGUAACGUACCUUACCAUUCUGCCUUUUUACUUCUAACCUUAUCUAUUUUAGAAACAGAUUCUGGAAGUUCAAAAGGUGAUG
rnacentral:lncRNA from 12 species